rnacentral:ncRNA from 2 species
UACGUAGGGGGCAAGCGUUGUCCGGAAUCAUUGGGCGUAAAGAGCGCGUAGGCGGUCCGGUAAGUCAGCUGUGAAAGUCAAGGGCUCAACCCUUGAAAGCCGGUUGAUACUGUCGGGCUAGAGUCCGGAAGAGGCGAGUGGAAUUCCCGGUGUAGCGGUGAAAUGCGCAGAUAUCGGGAGGAACACCAAUGGCGAAGGCAGCUCGCUGGGACGGUACUGACGCUGAGGCGCGAAAGCGUGGGGAGCAAACAGG